rnacentral:rRNA from 1 species
UUCUGUAGGCGGUAUUGUAAGUUGGGAGUCAAAUCCUCCAGCUCAACUGGAGAACUGCUUCCAAAACUGCAGUACUAGAGACAGCUAGGGGUUAGCAGAACUUAUGGUGGAGCAGUGAAAUGCGUUGAUAUCAUAGGGAAUACCUAGGGGGAAGCCAGCUAACUGGGGCUGUUCUGACGCUGAGAGACGAAAGCGUGGGUAGCGAAAC